UAUGUAGCCUAUUGAUUUUCUCGCACUCCAUCCUCUGGUUUAUUUGUUUUAAUUUGUUUUAAUUAAUUUUUUUAGUAUGAAUUUUUAAUAUAACUGUUAUUUAAUUGUUAUUUUAAGGGGGGAAGGUAGAACUUGGGACUAGUGUAUUACUAUGUUUUGACUGUUUUACUGUCAAUGCCACUUCUCUCUCCUUCCCUUUCUCUAGGGUCUGUGAUUAGCUGAUGUAUGUGGUCUUGUCCGCACUUAAGUGUCAACUAGAUAUCUAUCUAAAUUGCUUUAUGUGCAAAGUGAAUGAAGGCUCAAGUCUGUUUCAAGACUGUGAGGAACAGCUUUUGGCCAAGGUGAAGACGAUUAGAGGGAUUGGGCCAUUAUAAGAUACCUCAGUGAACUUCUUGGUCACCUAGUCCUGCAGAUCCAAGGAGGAGGGGACCAGCAGGAGCUCCAAAAUCUACAUGGACCGAGGGUAAGUUGCUUACAAAACAGGGCUGGGGGCAGAAGUUGCCAGUGGGGCUAGAUGUAGGAAUUCAGACACCUGAACCAACUAUCUUUUCUGGCACCUCUGGCCUCACCUUCUCUUUUCUGCAGGGAAGUAAUUGAUAUCUUGGGAACUCUGCUCCUGAAGCUGUAUCUGGUAUACCAGAUGAACUCAACCUGCCUUCCAUCACAGUGAGUUUGAGUCUCCCAGCCUCUCUCUGGGAGAUGGCUUUCCCUUCAAAAGGAAAGAUGCUGGAAUCAAAAGCAUCUCUGCUUCCCCCAGCAGGACCGAAAGACCAUUACUUCCACCUGUGCCAUGGCUGGGCCACAAAGGACCCCCAUCCCCAGCCUGCAGGAGUCCUACUCUUGCUAAGGUUUGAGAAGUCACCAGAAGAUUCAUCUUAAGACUCUGCUGCCUCUGGGCAAAGAGAAGGAUGCCACCACAUCUUUCUAGCUACUUGGACACUGGGUGGGGACAUUUCCCGAUUUUAAAGUAACAAACAAACACAACUGAACUAUGCAAUAAAGCCAUGUGGUGUGUGUGUGUGUGUUUUGGAUUUUUUGGAGGGUAGGUUGUUGAUUGUUGUAUGUGUCAAGACCAUGUUGUAAAGAGGUCUGAUAAAAUGACAUGGAUGUAGCCACUAGACAGAGCUGUAGUGGAACUUAUUACAGUUCUAAGUGGCAGUUACACGUGUCUGCAUUUUUUAAACAGUGCAUCAUGGAAAGGCUAAUGCAACUGUCAACUGUCAGUCCUUCUGAGAGAAAGUGUCAGUUAGACAGUUGGUGUUACUGUAACUGCCUCUGUGUUUGUUGUUAUAGUCGAUUGGCUGGCAAAGUAACUUAUUUGAGAAUAUUCAAGACGGCUGUCUGUACUUGGCGUAAUCUUUGUAUAUAGUUUUUGCAACAAAGAUUAAAAA